rnacentral:rRNA from 1 species
UGGGGAAUAUUGCACAAUGGGCGCAAGCCUGAUGCAGCAACGCCGCGUGAGGGACGACGGCCUCGGGUUGUAAACCUCUUUUAGUAGGGAAGAAGCGAAAGUGACGGUACCUGCAGAAAAACGCACCGGCUAACUACGUGCCAGCAGCCGCGGUAAUACGUAGGGUGCAAGCGUUGUCCGGAAUUAUUGGGCGUAAAGAGCUCGUAGGCGGUUUGUCGCGUCUGCUGUGAAAACCCGAGGCUCAACCUCGGGCCUGCAGUGGGUACGGGCAGACUAGAGUGCGGUAGGGGAGAAUGGAAUUCCUGGUGUAGCGGUGGAAUGCGCAGAUAUCAGGAGGAACACCGAUGGCGAAGGCAGUUCUCUGGGCCGUAACUGACGCUGAGGAGCGAAACGCGUGGGGAGCGAACAGGAUUAGAUACCCUGGUAGUCCACGCCGU